rnacentral:lncRNA from 1 species
AUGGCAUUAAUGGAAGACUUAAUGGCGACGGGGCUCCAGUGAAUUCAGGACUAGAUGCACUGUUAAUUCAAGUCAAUGUGGUUGUGCCUGACAGCAUGAUUACUAUCUUUUGCCUGCAUAUAUUAUUUCCCCAAACUUAAUUAACAAAUCAUUUCUUCAUGUGCCAGAAUUAAACUAUUUAAUUAAUUGCCCUGUAUAAUCCUUGCUUAGUAACCCAGGGGUGGGAUGAAUUUACAGGUGAAAUUGAAUUUCUGGACGUAUCUGUAUUUAUUUGCAUUUGUGUGUCAUAUUCCAAUUUUAGAUAGAAAAAUCCCCAAGUUGUUAUAAAGGUAGUGAAAAAAAAAGGGUGGUGUCAUUUGGAAAUACCUAAUUGGGUAUCUAAAUCCAGUCCUCUCAUUCUACUUUCCAGAGUGUUGGGUGGACAGAAAGCAUAAUAGGGGUUUUGAUUUUUGAAUUAUUUUUAUUAUUUUUCUGCACUGGCUUGAGUAAGGUUUUUUUUUUUUCCCAGUGGGAAAAAUGAUUAUAAAAAUUAGAACCUGUGGCCGUAGGCAUGAUUCUCUCUUUGUCAGUUUCAAGUGCUCUGGAAAUUCAUCCUCUAAUCCAGCUAAUCACAACAGUGUUGAAAAUAAAAAUUUAAACAUCUGAAUGUGAAUUGCAUUGCCGUGUCUAUAUGCCUAUUGCUAUGCCAUGGCUGAGCUCUCUGAAUUACAUGGAACCUUUUGGGAAAAAUACAGGAAAUAUUUUGUCUUGUUUUUUAAGGCUACAGUACUAUAAAAAGUGUUUACAAGCCUGAAGGAAAACUACAUAUACAUAAAUAAAGCUACUUCUGUUGAUCUACAGAAAAAC